rnacentral:rRNA from 1 species
GCCGGGGGGUGUGCUAUACAUGCAAGUCGAACGCGUUGGCCCAAUUGAUUGAUGGUGCUUGCACCUGAUUGAUUUUGGUCGCCAACGAGUGGCGGACGGGUGAGUAACACGUAGGUAACCUGCCCAGAAGCGGGGGACAACAUUUGGAAACAGAUGCUAAUACCGCAUAACAGCGUUGUUCGCAUGAACAACGCUUAAAAGAUGGCUUCUCGCUAUCACUUCUGGAUGGACCUGCGGUGCAUUAGCUUGUUGGUGGGGUAACGGCCUACCAAGGCGAUGAUGCAUAGCCGAGUUGAGAGACUGAUCGGCCACAAUGGGACUGAGACACGGCCCAUACUCCUACGGGAGGCAGCAGUAGGGAAUCUUCCACAAUGGGCGCAAGCCUGAUGGAGCAACACCGCGUGAGUGAAGAAGGGUUUCGGCUCGUAAAGCUCUGUUGUUAAAGAAGAACACGUAUGAGAGUAACUGUUCAUACGUUGACGGUAUUUAACCAGAAAGUCACGGCUAACUACGUGCCAGCAGCCGCGGUAAUACGUAGGUGGCAAGCGUUAUCCGGAUUUAUUGGGCGUAAAGAGAGUGCAGGCGGUUUUCUAAGUCUGAUGUGAAAGCCUUCGGCUUAACCGGAGAAGUGCAUCGGAAACUGGAUAACUUGAGUGCAGAAGAGGGUAGUGGAACUCCAUGUGUAGCGGUGGAAUGCGUAGAUAUAUGGAAGAACACCAGUGGCGAAGGCGGCUACCUGGUCUGCAACUGACGCUGAGACUCGAAAGCAUGGGUAGCGAACAGGAUUAGAUACCCUGGUAGUCCAUGCCGUAAACGAUGAGUGCUAGGUGUUGGAGGGUUUCCGCCCUUCAGUGCCGGAGCUAACGCAUUAAGCACUCCGCCUGGGGAGUACGACCGCAAGGUUGAAACUCAAAGGAAUUGACGGGGGCCCGCACAAGCGGUGGAGCAUGUGGUUUAAUUCGAAGCUACGCGAAGAACCUUACCAGGUCUUGACAUCUUGCGCCAACCCUAGAGAUAGGGCGUUUCCUUCGGGAACGCAAUGACAGGUGGUGCAUGGUCGUCGUCAGCUCGUGUCGUGAGAUGUUGGGUUAAGUCCCGCAACGAGCGCAACCCUUGUUACUAGUUGCCAGCAUUAAGUUGGGCACUCUAGUGAGACUGCCGGUGACAAACCGGAGGAAGGUGGGGACGACGUCAGAUCAUCAUGCCCCUUAUGACCUGGGCUACACACGUGCUACAAUGGACGGUACAACGAGUCGCGAACUCGCGAGGGCAAGCAAAUCUCUUAAAACCGUUCUCAGUUCGGACUGCAGGCUGCAACUCGCCUGCACGAAGUCGGAAUCGCUAGUAAUCGCGGAUCAGCAUGCCGCGGUGAAUACGUUCCCGGGCCUUGUACACACCGCCCGUCACACCAUGAGAGUUUGUAACACCCAAAGUCGGUGGGGUAACCUUUUAGGAGCCAGCCGCUAAGGUGACAGGAUG